GGUUUGGUCCUAGCCUUUCUAUUAGUUAUCUGUAAACUUACACAUGCAAGAAUCCUCACCCCAGUGAGAUGCCCUCUACACCAAACAAUGGUAAAAAGGAGCUGGUAUCAAGCACACUAUCAAGUAGCUUACGACACCUCGCUUAGCCACACCCCCACGGGAUACAGCAGUGAUAAAAAUUAAGCAAUAAAUGAAAGUCUGACUAAGUUAUACUAUUGAGGACUGGUAAAUUUCGUGCCAGCCACCGCGGUCAUACGAUUAGGCCAAACUAAUAGACACUCGGCGUAAAGCGUGUUCUAGAAACUAAAUAACAAAUAAAAUCAAACCUUAACUAAGCCGUAAAAAGCCUUAGAUAUUGUAAGAUACAUAACGAAAGUGAUUUUAAAAAAUCUGACUACACGAUAGCUAAGAUCCAAACUGAGAUUAGAUACCUCACUAUGCUUAGCCCUAAACAUAAAAAAUUAUAAACAAAACUAUUCGCCAGAGUACUACUAGCAACAGCUUAAAACUCAAAGGACUUGGCGGUGCCUUACAUCCUCCUAGAGGAGCCUGUUCUAUAAUCGAUAAACCCCGAUCUACCUCACCAAUCUUUGCUAAAUCAGCCUAUAUACCGCCAUCUUCAGCAAACCCUAAAAAGGAAAUAAAGUAAGCACAAAUACCAGCAUAAAAACGUUAGGUCAAGGUGUAGCCUAUAGAUUGGAAAGAAAUGGGCUACAUUCCUCGAAUCGAGGAAUUAACAUUCUGCACGAAACCUAUUGUGAAACCAAGAGUUAAAGGUGGAUUUAGCAGUAAACCAAGAGUAGAGUGCUUGGUUGAAUACGGCCAUAAGGCACGCACACACCGCCCGUCACCCUCCUCAAAUUGACAAAACUACAAACCAUAGAUAAUACAGAAACAUAAACUCAUGAGAGGAGACAAGUCGUAACAAGGUAAGUGUACUGGAAAGUGCACUUGGACAAC
rnacentral:ncRNA from 1 species